rnacentral:rRNA from 1 species
GUGUCAGCAGCCGCGGUAAUACGGAGGGGGCUAGCGUUGUUCGGAAUUACUGGGCGUAAAGGGCGCGUAGGCGGUUUACCAAGUCAGGCGUGAAAGGCCUGGGCUCAACCCGGGAACUGCGCUUGAUACUGGUGGACUUGAGUCCGGGAGAGGAUGGCGGAAUUCCCAGUGUAGAGGUGAAAUUCGUAGAUAUUGGGAAGAACACCGGUGGCGAAGGCGGCCAUCUGGACCGGAACUGACGCUGAGGCGCGAAAGCGUGGGGAGCAAACAGGAUUAGAUACCCUCGUAGUCC